AGGUUCACAGAUAUCUCAGUGAUAAGGGUUUAGCUGUUAUGUGGCCAAUGGUGUGGUACCUCAUUUUCAACAUCAUCCAUAUAGAGAAGACUCUGCAUACCUGCACAUUGACAACUGUGUUUGGUGGAAUAAAAACAAUGCCGUCAUUGGGGUCUGAUGUAUUCUGAAGGGAGAGACACAACAUUUACUUAAAUGGAAGCAGGUGACAUAAAGUUCAGUCCUGUGUGAGAUUUGGUCUGUGAAAGACCAAAUGGAGGCAGCACACAUCCUUUGUGGAUUGAUGACCUUGGCAAACUGGUUAUAUUCUUUGACUGGUUGGAGUACACCAAGUGACCCCUGAAGUGCAUUCCA